UACAGAGGUGGCAAGCGUUGUUCGGAAUUACUGGGCGUAAAGGGCGCGUAGGCGGCCUUCUAAGUCAGACGUGAAAUCCCCCGGCUUAACCUGGGAACUGCGUCUGAUACUGGGAGGCUAGAGUAUGGGAGAGGGAUGUAGAAUUCCAGGUGUAGCGGUGAAAUGCGUAGAUAUCUGGAGGAAUACCGGUGGCGAAGGCGGCAUCCUGGACCAUUACUGACGCUGAGGCGCGAAAGCCAGGGGAGCAAACGGG
rnacentral:rRNA from 1 species